rnacentral:rRNA from 1 species
AGGAUAAACGCUGGCGGCGUGCCUAACACAUGCAAGUCGAACGUCUCUUUCUUCGGGAAGAGGAGCGGCGAACGGGUGAGUAACACGUGAGCAACCUGCCCUUAGCUUCGGGAUAGCUCCGGGAAACCGGAAUUAAUACCGAAUAUGACUUUGGCUGACAUCAGCAGAAGUGGAAAGUUUUUCGGCUAGGGAUGGACUCGCGGCCUAUCAGCUAGUUGGUGAGGUAACGGCCCACCAAGGCGACGACGGGUA